ensembl:lncRNA
AGCUCUUGUGUGAGACGCAGGCGAGGAUGGCCAGGCGCCCGGGAAUGAAAGCAAAGUUCCGUGGAGCUUGGAGCCCCUAGACAGCCACCCGUGUCCGGGCGGAGAAGAGCCCUCCGCGGUCCGAGCUCGAGCGUGGAGCGGCCUCCGGCGCUCGGGCUGCCCGGGUGGAAGCCCGCGAAGGGGGUCCCGCGGCGCUUUUGUACAGCCCCGCCUUGGCCAGCCGCGAUCUGACGCACCGGCUCCCCUGGGACGCUGGGGGCGUCGCACUGCAGCUGGGUGGGGAGCAAUUUAUUCCUCGCCGUCCCAUCCCAGCCCAUCUUCGGUUACUCCACCCUACCCCUCCCAUGCCUCCACCUCCUCCUCUUCCUCCUCCUCCUCCUCUACCUACGCCUUCACUACCUCUGAUUCUCCACCUCCUCUUCAUCCUCCAUCCCCCUUCUACUUCUCUCUCCCCCCUCUCUCCUCCCUCCCGCCUCCCUGCCCUCUCCCUCUCCCCUCCCUCUCUCCUCUGAAUAAGCAAGCUUUUGCCUCUAAAAGUCACAAGUAAUCCUCGUGUGUGACACAGAGAGAGAGAGAGAAAGGGAGAGAGAGAGGCGAGCCUGCCGAGGGGAGCGGCAGGCAGGAAGGGAAAUCUGGCACAACGGCUGGGAGAGGAAACUUGACGCUUCUGGGCCACCAUUUGCCAGGGCCUCGCUCGAGACGCCGAAAGGAGCCUGUGUAUGUCCUGCGGCCGCCCUGUGACUCUGGAUCUUGUCUUCUGGCCGGCGCUUCGAUUCCUGCCCAGCUGGAUUUGAGGGGCAGCAGUGCCUGGCGCAGGGAGGAGAGCAAAUGAGACUACAAAGAAGCAUAAAAUGAAUAGACAGUUCAACCAGCCAAAGACCGGGGGCAGCAGCACGCCAGCAAGACGGCAUCUUCUCCUCCCCAGCCUAGAAGCCCUGUGAAAUCGAGGAUCUUCCCCCUAAAACACACACACACAAGAUAUGUGCAAUCAAGCUGCCACCGCUUGGUAAAAAGCUCAUGGUGCCUAACCCAAAAGGAUCGGGAGCAGAUCCUUGAAUCAGCUGUCACUUCUUCUAUAGAAUGGGAUGGUUUUUUUCCUUCCUCCUUACCCUGCGCUGGAAAUUGCCGUUGGCUUUAUACGUCUCUAUAGAGGGAGGCUAAAGAGUCUUGCGUGAGAAUGAAGCAAUUUACAAUGCAAAUAGAGGCCUGUGAAGGGACGGAUGCUGCUGCUCACUCGUAACCGCUUGCUGCACCUUAAUAGCUGGUUUUAUUUUCUGAUAUUAAUAGAUGAAUUGUUGGCUAACGCUGCCGGAGAUUACUUGCUGAAAGGAAAAAAAAAAAGUUCGGAAUAAACUUUGAAAGCAACAGAUCUCGUUUGGAUGUUUAGCCGCACACACAGACAGAAACCAGGUCAUAUUUACAUACAAGGAGGAAUCUUAUGCGCGGCGAGUAUCCUGGAGGACUACCCUUCUGUGCUGUCGGAAAGAUCGGGACCUGGAGUCUGAUCAAAGGAAGACAGAGGCGCGUGAGGGAAGCGAGUUGUUAUCUUUGGUUAUCUAGCUGUAUGAGUGUAUUGGUCUUCAUAAAGCUAGAUAACCGAAAGUAAAAACUCCUUCAAGAUCGCCGGGGAGCGUGUGAGAAUGAGAGACUACAACCGAGAGACAGUAAAAACCAGAAAGGUCAGGAAUACUUAUUGAAUCUAACUUUGUUUUUGUUUUUUUGCCUUUUGAUUAAAGGUGGGGUUAGAGGAAAUUAAGUGACGCAUAUGCCAAAAUAUAAAGGUGCCAGGUACUUGGAGAGGGGUUGUUACAGCUGCAAAGGAGAAUUGUAUGGUGCUAAUGAGGAAAGAGGCUUGCGCAGUUUGUCUUGCUUUAAGGCAAAAGUUUGUAUAUGAGGUUGGUUUUUUUCUUAGACAGCUGUUGUAGAGAUGUCUGGUACCUAGUUUAAAAAUGAUUUGGUAAUAUGUGGACUUAGGCUCUUCCCUUCUGAGGCCCCUCCCCUGAAAAAUUUGAAAGAUGAUGCUUGGAAACUACAUGUAUUUGGGUUGUAUGUCAAAUUAUAUGAAAUUAGACUUUCAGAAAAUUUAUACUGGAAGGUUAAUCAUUUGUAUCUACUGAGGACAUAGAGCUAGAAGGGAAAAUGCAAAAAAAGAAAAAAAAAGCAAAGGCUGAUUUUUAUUCUUCUAUUCAAAAUACAAGGACAGAUGCUUCUCUGUUCCAAGAGGGUUUCCUUGAGGAAGCUACUGAAGCAGAAAGACAUGAUGGAGACGAGAUCGCCUCCCCUCUUGUCAAAGUGUUAAAAAAAUGUUCUGUCUUACUCUGCGCCUAGCAUUGGAAAUGAAAGUGACAUUUACGCCACAACCCACGUGUGCGCCUCCUCUCUUUUUGUUUAAGGAUGAUCAGGUCUAUCCAGGAAACAGCUCUGGCAUCCCAAACUGAAAUAAUUAGGACGUAUAUAGACCUGACAAAAAUGGAAAGGGGGUGGGGAAUCUGAGGGUCUGUCUUGCCUAAUUGAUUCCGCUAAACGGAAUGCAGGAGAUGUGAACGGCAGGACGCUCCGAUUCCCACGCUCGGGGGCAAGUGGUAAAGCGGGCCCGGCAGCCUAUGACAGACAGCCCUGUUGGGGGGUGGGGGUAUGAAAAAAACAUCGAGUGCACACACCAUACUCAUCUCCAUCGCUUAAGAAAGUAGAGGCAUUUCCCACCCACAGCCAUCUGCAGCCUCCCAAAUGGCAGCACCAACUGGUCUGUAGCUGCUGCAUACUGUCUGAUUCUGUUAAUUUUAUAACCGCUGUUUAAUCUGGCCAUAAUUAAGUUUGGCUUUCUUCUUUGCUUGAGAUUUUCAAUAUUUAAGGAAAGCUAGUAGAAAGCAGUUCCAAGCAAGUCCCAUGACUGCCUGCCCCUCAUGUCAAAUUGCCAGUCCGCACUUUUGGCCUUCCACCUUUUGGCUUUUGUUUUGGGGAAGGGGGUUCUAUUUAAAAUACUUAUCUCUUCUGUAAUAGACAUUAUUAUCACUUCAUCAGGCUCUUUACCUCUGAACAUGAUAUAUCCAGGAAGUUGGCCUAAUUCUGCUAGUAGACAUACACUGGAAGUAAAACUAUAAAAUCAUCAACCUAUAGAAAGGUGACCACAAUAACAGUGUGAUGAAAGGUUGUUUUAGUAUAGUCCCAGCUAGAUGUGUUCUAAACAGCCAUUUUUAUUUAAUCUAAAAUGACUAUGCUUAGCAGAAACUUUGGGAGGUCCCCAUGGUAAUCUUUUCAUGAAAGUCCUUUCAUUUUUCCACGUGUCACCAAGCAAACAUUUGUAUAGGCAUUUAAAAAUAAACACAAACACAAACACUGUAAUAAGAAAAUGCCCAAAAUGGCCUGUUAUCUUCCACGUGACCUAGAUUACUGACAAUCCCAAAUCCCAAAUACACAACUUUUCUUCAAAAGCAUUACAUUUCCUUUGUAGCUGCAACUCCUUAUAAGAGUUCAGACUGGAGAAGCCUGAAAAACCACUGUUAAUUUCAGUUAGAAACUGAGAGACUUUAUGAACGUAAAUUCUCAAUUUGGCCGCUGAACACGUGCCAAAGUUUUAACUACUGUAGUGACCGUUGAGAAGACCCUUGUUUAUUUACAUUUGAAGCACUGUUUGUGCAAACAACCUUUCAUUGUUAAGUGCCUGUAUUCCUUUCAUUUACUUCAUGUCCAGGGGUGCUAUUUACCUAGAACCAUUGUCUACUACAAUUAACAUUUACAUUACAAAGUGUGUGGUUUUCUUUCUCAAGGAGGUUCAAUUAAGGCAAUAAGAUGUUUGCUGGGGAAACCUAUUGUUUACUGAAAGCACUCAAUGGAGUCAAAUUACUGAAGCUUUUGCCUACAUCUUGGUCUUUUAUGUAAAUGUGUUAAAUAUAACAUCUAAGGAAAAUAAACAAUAUUAUAAUUACGUGUUUGCCAUUGUCAUAUCAAACUUGCUUUGUAUCAUACUAAUGUUACAUGACUUAUCGAUCAAUAAAAAUACAUUUCAAUGUUA